rnacentral:rRNA from 1 species
AUCUGGUUGAUCCUGCCAGUAGUCAUAUUCUUUUCUCAGAGAUUAAGCCAUGCAUGUCUAAGUACAUGUCUUUAAACGGGGAAACCGCAGAUGGCUCAUUAAAUCAGCUAUGGUUCUUUGGAUCGUACAUACUACAUGGAUAUACUGUAGUAACUCCAGGAGCUAUUGCAUCCCACCAUGGCCUGACCGCGAGGGAACGGUGGAUUUAUAGAACAGUAACAACCGAGGGCAGCUUCGGUCGUCCCUGUUGCAUUCUGUGAUUGACUCUGAUAACUUCACUGAUCUCAUCGCGCCUUGUUUCGGCGGCGGAUCCUUCAAUGAUCUGGCCCUAUCAAUUUUUGAUGGUAGGUGACCUGCCUACCAUGGUGCUAACGGGUAACGGGGAAUCAGGUUUCGAUUCCGGAGAGAGAGCCUGAAAAACGGCUGCCAUUUCCAAAAGGGGCAGUCAGGCAGCAAAUUACCCGGUCACGGCACGGGGAGGGGGGUAUCCGCACGUAAAAAUACAAACACGGGACUACUAGAUCUUUGUAAUUUGGAAUGGGUACAAUGUUAAAUCCUUUUAACAAUGAUCAGGACGGGGGGCAAGUCUGGUGCCAGAAGCCGCGCAACUCCAACUCCAGAAAGUAUAUUAAAGUUUUUUGCAGUAAAAAUGCUUGAGUUGGGAUCUGGGUNNNNNNNNNNNNNNNNNNNNNNNNNGCUUUCCAGGGAGAGAGCCUCUGAUAAAACGGCUGCCAUUUCAAAAGGGGCUGCAGGAAGCAAUUUACCCGUUCACGGCACGGGAGGGGGGUAUGUGACGAAAAAUACAAACACGGGACUCUACGAUACUUUGUAAUUUGAAUGGGUACAAUGUUAAAUCCUUUUAACAAUGAUCAACUGGGGGGCAAGUCUCUGUGCCAGCAGUCCGGGCAACUCCAAUCCAGAAGAGUAUAUUAAAGUUUUUUGCAGUUAAAUGCUUGUAGUUGGGAUCUGGGUCGCAUUGGGCCUACCUUGGCGCUGUGCUCGUGGUUCUCGGUGUGAUUAUCUGCUCGAUUGAGCUUACGAGCUGGUUCUCGUGGCUGUGCUUUUUUUUCUUCUAUGUUCCGUUUACAGGUGUCAGCGUUGACUUGGUGGGUCUCGCCUUGCUAGCCUCUUUGGCAUACUUCUUGGUUGCCCUUAAUCGGGUGUUGGUGGCGGACGUCACGUUUAUCUUUGAACAUAAUUUCUUUGGGGAUGCUCAAAGCAGGCCAUCGUGCCUAGAAGUUCUUGCACGGAAUAUGGAAAUUAGGAAUUUUGGCGUCUAUUUGAUGUUUUUGGAUCCGAAUCAGUGGUUAAGAGGGACAGAGAGGGGCAUUUGUGUGGUGGUGUUAGAGUUGAAAAUCUUGGAUCACCGCCAGACACCCACAGCGGAAAGCAUUUUGCCAAGGUGUUUUCGUUGAUCUUUGAGCGAAAGUCAGGCGUUCGAAGACGAUCAGAUUACCGUCCUAGUUCUGACCACAAACGUAUAACUGUACGAUCCGUGUGUUGUUCUUCAUGUGUUCUCCCACGGGCACUCCCCGGAUAUAAGUCCUUUCAAGCCAUUUUAGGGGAACGUAUAUGGUUGCAAUAGCUGAAUAUUUUUAAGGGAAUUGAUCAGACAAGUGGGCCAUUGCUAGGUAGUGGAGCCUGUGGCUUAAUUUCACUUCCACGCAGGUAAUUAUCCCAUCCCGGCCCGACCACUGCGAGGGACUGCAAGAAUUGAUAUCUCUUUCUUUGGAUUCGACGGUUUUGGUGGUUGCAUGCUCCUUCCGUUAUUUUAUUGGUAGUUGGCGGACCAAUUUGUCUGGUUAAUUCCAAUAACAACUGGACUCCGCGCUGCUACUAGUUUUUUAUGGCUCCUGUUUCCCUGUGUUCCCUGUGCUCGUGCACAGUGCGUUGUCCAUUGCCUCCUCGUGGGGUAGUGGUUACGUGGACCGGCAGGUGAGGCGCAGGUACUUACUUCUUAGAGGGACAAGCAGUUGCGGUUUUUUGAUGCCCUUAGGUUUCCGGGGAGGCUUGUGUGCUACAGUGACGGUUUCAGCGAGUUUGAAAUCCCGGCCUGAGCAGGUUGGGUAAACUGUAUCAUGACCCCCGUGACUGGGGUCGGGGCUUGCAAUUGUUCCCCGUGAACGAGGAAUUCCUGGUGAGUGCAAGUCAUAGGCUUGUGCUGAUCACUUCCCUGCCCUUUGUACACACCGCCCCUCUCUACUAUCGAUUGAGUGGUUUAGCAAGGUCCUAGGAAUAAUGCCACUGUAGUGGCUUCCACCGCUCGACCGGUGCUGAGAAGACGACCAAACUUGAUCAUUUGGAGGAAGUAAAAUUCGUAACAAGGUUCUCGUAGGCGGACCUGCGGAGGGUUCGUUA